rnacentral:rRNA from 1 species
AGAGACCCCGAGCGUUAUCCGGAUUUAUUGGGCGUAAAGCGUGCGCAGAUGGUUUUUUAAGUCGGUGGUCAAAGCCCGAGGCUCAACUUCGGGACUGCCAUCGAAACUGAAAAACUAGAGGGCGGAAGAGGCUAGCGGAAUUGCCGGUGUAACGGUCAAAUGUGUUAAUAUCGGCAAGAACACCAGAGGCGAAGGCGGCUAGCUGGUACGUACCUGACAUUGUUGCACGAAAGCGUGGGGAGCGAAUGGGAUUAGAUACCCCAGUAGUCCACGCCGUAAACGAUGGAUAUUAGUCAUUGGCAGUAUCGACCCCCUGUCAGUGGCGUCAAAAAUAGCUAACGCAUUAAAUAUCCCCGCCUGGAAGUACGGCCGCAAGGCUA